UACGUAGGCAGCAAGCGUUGUUCGGAGUUACUGGGCGUAAAGGGUGCGUAGGCGGUCCUAUAAGUAUGGUGUGAAAUCUCCCGGCUUAACUGGGAGGGUGCGCUAUAGACUGUGGGACUAGAGUGUGGGAGAGGAAAGUGGAAUUCCUGGUGUAGCGGUGAAAUGCGUAGAUAUCAGGAGGAACACCGGUGGUGUAGACGGCUUACUGGACGGUAACUGACGCUGAGGCACGAAAGCGUGGGUAGCAAACAGG
rnacentral:rRNA from 1 species